rnacentral:rRNA from 1 species
AGAGUUUGAUCAUGGCUCAGAUUGAACGCUGGCGGCGUGCCUAACACAUGCAAGUCGAGCGGUAACAGGUGUAGCAAUACAUGCUGACGAGCGGCGGACGGGUGAGCAAUAUUUGGGAAUCUGCCUAUUAGUGGGGGACAACCCGGGGAAACUCGGGCUAAUACCGCAUACGCACUACGGUGGAAAGCCGGGGACCGCAAGGCCUGGCGCUAAUAGAUGAGCCCAAACCGGAUUAGCUAGUUGGUGAGGUAACGGCUCACCAAGGCGACGAUCCGUAGCUGGUCUGAGAGGACGACCAGCCACACCGGAACUGAGACACGGUCCGGACUCCUACGGGAGGCAGCAGUGGGGAAUAUUGGACAAUGGGCGAAAGCCUGAUCCAGCGACGCCGCGUGGGUGAAGAAGGCCUGCGGGUUGUAAAGCCCUUUCGGUGGGGAUAAAAAGCCUUGGUUUAACACACCAGGGUCUUGAUCUAACCCAAGAAAGAAGCACCGGCUAACUCUGUGCCAGCAGCCGCGGUAAUACAGAGGGUGCGAGCGUUAAUCGGAAUUACUGGGCGUAAAGCGCACGUAGGUGGCUUUGCAAGUCGGAUGUGAAAUCCCCGGGCUUAACCUGGGAACUGCAUUCGAGACUGCUCUGCUAGAGUAUGGGAGAGGGAAGUGGAAUUUCCGGUGUAGCGGUGAAAUGCGUAGAUAUCGGAAGGAACAUCAGUGGCGAAGGCGACUUCCUGGACCAAUACUGACACUCAAGUGCGAAAGCGUGGGGAGCAAACAGGAUUAGAUACCCUAGUAGUCC